rnacentral:rRNA from 1 species
GACGAACGCUGGCGGCGUGCUUAACACAUGCAAGUCGAGCGGUAAGGCCCUUUCGGGGUACGACGAGCGGCGAACGGGUAGGAGUAACAACGUGGGUGGACCUCGCCCUCCAGCUCUGGGAGUAAGCCCGGGAAACCGUAGGGUCGUAAUAACCGGACGUAUGACUCCAUGACGCAUGUUGUGGGGUGGGAAAGCCUUGUGCGGCUGAGGAU